rnacentral:rRNA from 1 species
UACGGAGGGUGCGAGCGUUGUCCGGAAUCAUUGGGCGUAAAGGGCGCGUAGGUGGCCCGGUGAGUCUUUGGUGAAAGCGCGGGGCUCAACCCUGCGUCGGCCAGGGAUACUGCCGCGGCUCGAGCACUGUAGAGGCAGGCGGAAUUCCGGGUGUAGCGGUGGAAUGCGUAGAGAUCCGGAAGAACACCGGAGGCGAAGGCGGCUUGCUGGGCUUGGUCUGACGCUGAGGCGCGAAAGCGUGGGGAGCGAACAGG